GCGGGCGUAGCUCAAUUGGUAGAGCAUCAGCCUUCCAAGCUGAAUGUUGGCGGUUCGAGUCCGCUCGCCCGCU
rnacentral:tRNA from 1 species